rnacentral:rRNA from 1 species
AGAGUUUGAUCCUGGCUCAGGAUGAACGCUAGCGGCAGGCUUAAUACAUGCAAGUCGAGGGGCAACAGGGGUAGCAAUACCUGCUGGCGACCGGCAAACGGGUGCGCAACACGUACAGAACCUUCCUUUAAGCGGGGGAUAGCCCAUAGAAAUGUGGAUUAAUACCCCAUAGUAAUAUUGAUUGGCAUCAGUUAAUAUUUAAAGAUUUAUCACUUAAAGAUGGCUGUGCGUCUGAUUAGGUAGUUGGUCGGGGUAACGGCCCACCAAGCCAUCGAUCAGUAACUGGUGUGAGAGCACGACCAGUCACACGGGCACUGAGACACGGGCCCGACUCCUACGGGAGGCAGCAGUAAGGAAUAUUGGUCAAUGGACGCAAGUCUGAACCAGCCAUGCCGCGUGAAGGAUGAAGGCCCUCUGGGUUGUAAACUUCUUUUAUCUGGGAAGAAAUGCUUGUUUUUCAACGAGUUUGACGGUACCAGAGGAAUAAGCACCGGCUAACUCCGUGCCAGCAGCCGCGGUAAUACGGAGGGUGCAAGCGUUAUCCGGAUUCACUGGGUUUAAAGGGUGCGUAGGUGGGUUAGUAAGUCAGUGGUGAAAUCUCCGUGCUUAACAUGGAAACUGCCAUUGAUACUACUGGUCUUGAAUUUUCUGGAGGUAAGCGGAAUAUGUCAUGUAGCGGUGAAAUGCUUAGAUAUGACAUAGAACACCAAUUGCGAAGGCAGCUUACUACAGGGAUAUUGACACUGAGGCACGAAAGCGUGGGGAUCAAACAGGAUUAGAUACCCUGGUAGUCC